rnacentral:lncRNA from 1 species
UUUCUCCUUUAGCCUAAGAUUUGGAUGUUUUGGGGCUUGAAGUUUUAAACAGUGACCUGAAAAGGGUAUCUUCCAAAACAGAGCAGCUAUUACAUGUGUAAGCUGUCCAGAAAAGAUGCAAAACAUCUAUCAACUAUUAACCUUACGUUUUUAGAAAUGAAAUAAACAGUAGGACUGUGGAAAGGUUCAUUCUGUUGUGUUGACUAUAAUAGCCUUGAGUGUUAUGAGAUGGAGCAUUGGUGGUCCCGAAGUCAAAUUGUAGGACUAGCACUGAACAAAGCAUUCUUAUUUGAAAGCUUCAUUAUUUUCCGCAGACUUAUUUAUUUUUCAUUUUUCACUCUGAUAAUGAUGUUUCCUUGUCUUAUUUAAUUAUAUCUCAAGCUAAUGGAAUUUUGACCGCAGUAAAAAUGCUGUAGUUUUAGGGUUCCUGUUCAGAAAGUUUUUUAGCAAAUGUGCCUUUUACCCUGCACUUAAUAAGAGUUCAGAGAAAAAUACUCAUUGCUAUUAGUCAUGUGCAUAAAGGUAGCCUGCUUUAUUGGGGUGGGAGUUUAAUUACCAGCAUAUUUUGUGGAAACCAUUUUUCAGCAUUUUUCAUAUUUGUAGUCUUAAAUAUAAAUAUUGCGUUUUCCAUAAGGACAAUUUCUGCUGUUAGUUUUUAUUCUUUUAAUGAUGUAUAGAGUGGCUUCAUGGCUUUGCUGGGCAACCUCCUUAGCUGCCCUGCUUGAGUGAGGGGCUGGACAAGAUGAUCUCAAGAGGUCCCUUCCAACCUCAGCCAUUCUGUAAUUCUAUGAUUUGUUGCCAUGCAGUAGGGGCCUGCAGUAUUUUUAGAGGGGAGAAAUAUCAGUCACCUCUAGUCAUGAUACAGUGGGAUUGAAAGCAGCUUUGGUGCCUAACUCUAUGAGGCAUUUAGGCCUGGGAAAUCCUAAGCAGAGAUUUCUCUUUGGAAAUCAAAUCAUGAACAUAGCAGCUGAACAGAUGCUGAAGAGCAUCUCCUUGACUCCCUCUCUGACUAAUUUAAGCAGUUUCUCACUCAGUUUCUUGGGUUUUAUACGUUUUGUUCUAGGGAAUCAAACUUCUCCAGAUUAUAGAUAGAGCUGACUAACCGAUUUUUAGGUUGAGGGGGAAGUUUGGUGUCCCUAUUACUUGAAACCCAAGUAUCCUUGGUAAAGUAUCAGAAACCAGACUACUGGUAAGCAGCCCUGUCUUUUGCAGAUCAAAAAUUAGUGUUUUCCUUACCUCACAGAGGUGUUGCAUCUGUGGCUAUUAAGUGCUUAGUCUGGUAACAUGGCUUCCACAAAUAAUUAUUGGAUGAGUAGAGCUAAAGGUGUGUCUAGCAGCUUCUUGCUGUUUGUUCUGCUCUUCCCUGCACUACUUUCAUGCAGGUGACCCAAACUCCAUCUCCUCACUCCCCUGACACAGUGCUGCCUCAACUAACUGACUCUUCUCCAAAGUCUUCUGUUUGCAGUUUCUUCUCUGCCUUGAAGUGUACAGUUGGUGGGGUUUUCUGGAUCUGAAGAACAGCAGAAGGGAGGCUCCUUGUCCUAGAUAGAGCCCUGUUAAAUGGGUGAUCCCUCCACACACCUGUCUGCAGCACAGGAUGCUUAGGAAAGUGCAGAGUGGCUCAUACAUCCCAAUGGGAUGUUCUGAAUUCAACCCAGACAUAAACACAUUCCAAAUAUGUAACUUGGGAGCUAUGAACUGACGCCAUCUCAAUAUGUAUUUUGGCAACAGUGUAUGUGGAAUGAGGCUGAGCAUUCCCAACAUCUCAGCCCUUUGGAGCCUGCUCACACAGUGCCACUCAGAAGGGCACAGCAUAGUCAGACAAAGCUUUGGGUGCUCCUCCAGCUCUUCAUCCAUCACUCCAUGCUUUUCUUAUAAGCAUAGGCCUGCAACAAAAUGGCCUGAGCUCAGCAGAGGAAUACAAGCACUGUGAGAAGAUACUGAUGGAGCAGGGCUUACUCGGCCUGGAGGAGAGAGAGCUCUGAGGAACCCUACAGCAACCUGCCCAGUCCUGCAAGGGCGUUCCUGGGAAGACAGAGCCAGCCUCUUCACAGUGGGGUGCACUGGGGGGGAAAAGAGAACUGGCAGUGGUUGAAACUAGAGAGGCUCAGGCUGGAUUACAAGAGGGGCUGUUUCCCCAUGAGGCCAGAAAAUGGCACAGGUUGCCCUGAGAGGUUGUGCUGUCUCCUGAGCUCAGAGCUGACCCUGCUUUGAGCAGGAUGUAGGGCUGGAUGAGAAAGGAGGUAGGCAGUAGUAAGCCUGGAACAUGCAGAGUCUCUGGGAGUGCCCACUGUACCCAGUUCAAUCCCAGCAGCAGCUUACUGUGCAUUACCCAACACAUAACAGCGUGCUGCCUGGAAAUAGUGACCAUUAGCAGAUCCACAGCCUCGCUCAAUGCCUGAAUUUCACUUUUGGUUGUCAUUGAGCCUGCACUGACCUCGGGUUAGUGAGGGAGCGUUUUGAUGUGCUUUUCUCUCAGCAGGACAGCCCUGCAUCUCCCUUUGUCAUUCCUGUCCCUGUUCUGGCUCUCAGAUGUGCAAAUGUUUAUACCGACCUCAAUUAAAAAUAACAGAGAAGGAGUCGGAUGCUAUCUGUAACCAGACUGGGUACAUGAUAUGGUUCACAAUACAUUCCAGUAAGUUGCUAUACCCGCGUAGCCAAAAGUCAGUGUGGGGAUAGGAAUGAAUGCCAAAGAAACGGGGACAGAAUGAGCUGCGUAAACAGGUACUGAUGUUAAAAGAGAUGCUCAUCAAAUUAUGGUAGGAUGGUUUCCUCUAAAGGGAAAUGUAUCCUGUGCAUUAGACUACAGAAAAUGUAAGCAGCUGAAAUAAUGUUAUGGGAAAUUGCUGGAGCUUUGGCAGCAUGCAAAGAAAAAUGUAGAUGAUCUUUUUUUUUCUUCUGUUUUUGUUGGAGGGACCUGUAUUGCCAGUUCCUCUCACUAAUUGCAUUGUGUCCUUAUGAGCCACUACAGAUAACAUGUAAUUUGUUAGACGUCCUGCAAUAGCCAGCCCUUAAACAAUGAUAACUUUAAACGGCUGCAGCUCACAUACUACCAAAAUAAAUCUAAAUAGGGUUCAUUUUAUUUUCUCCCCACAGUUAAAUUGCUUUCUUACUUUCAUUCUUCUAAGAAAUUUUUAAGGAAUCCUUCUUUAAUAUGAGGAUUUCAAUUGAAGCACCCAUGUGUUGAACUCUGAGAUAACUGGGAUAUGAAUUUAGAUUUUCUAUGAAAUAUUGAAUUAGUACUGAAUCUAAAAUGACUGAUGGCAGUGUUAAUGGGGGAGCCAGGCAUUGUUAUUGUGAAAUACUUCCUGUUUAAGAUUUGUGAAUUGUAGAAUGAUGGCCGCUGAACAGACUUUAGUCUAAAGGUCUGCAUCUGUUUGGAAUUAAGCCCUUUGUAAUUAAUUCAAAAAAAUAAUUCACUACCAUCUUUUCACCCUCCUUUAUGUGAAGUAUUUUUCCUUCCCUUCUGUACUGCAGUGUAGAUUUUCCUUCUGUGAUGUGCGUGGGUGCAGUCUAUAAGCAGAACAGGAGUCAGACUCAACACCUGGCUUUAUGGAAAAUGCAACUGGGAGAAAACAGUGGUGGAGAAAAUAACAUUUGGCAUAAAACAGUAAUUUAUGUGCAUUCAUCACGGUAAAAUGAGGAGCAUUGUCAAAGUCAGGUGCAUAGACUAAAUUUGCACCUGGCCAAUUUUUACAUACGUUGUGCAAUUGCCACUUGGAGGAAUUACAUUCAAGUUCUUAUAUAUAUAU